CUUCCUGGCUCCGUUCCGCGCAUGCUCCACGCAGGCAACGCCGCUUUAGGGGCGGGGUCAUCCUCGCGCCUGCGCGUUGUUGCAUUGUUGAAUAUUGGCGAUUGAUGAUGGGUUAUCCUGUAAACCUUCAGCAAUAGAGUCCGGAAGCUGAAGGCGCAGAGAGAAGCAGUGCUCAAGAUGCAGAAACUGAGUCAGUCAGUCAAGUGAGCUGGUAUCAGCUAAGAACAACCUUCCAACACUCAGGUGUUCAUGCAGGAAACUAAAAUGUUGAGAUUUCCUGAUGGGAUACUCAAAGGAAACAUCACACAGGAUCUAGUGGAGCCAUUUGAUCUAUCACGGCCUGAAUAUCAUUGGGCGUUGAGGUUGUGAAGAGAGAUAUUUGCCAUAUGGGGAUGUAUUUUAAACAUUCGUAUGACUUGAAAUGUACUGAGACAUAAAUGCCAAAAUCAGGGUAUUCCAGUAAAUUGACCGUGAAAAGAGACUUAAUCAUUUUGAUACCAGGAAAACACUGCACCAUUCAUAGUGGGGAGAAACUGCAUGUGUGUUUAUGUGGAUAGGCUUCUAUUAAUUACUCGACCUUGAGAAACAUAAGGACACAUACAUUAUGGAGAAACCAUGGAAAUGUGGGGACUGUGGAAAGGGAUUCAAUUACCCUUCAAAGUUAGAAACCCAUCGGCGCAGUCACACUGGGGAGAGGCCAUUCACUUGCUCCCUGUGUGGGAAGGGUUUCACAGAGUUAUCCAAGCUUCAUGUGCAUGUGCGAGUACACACUGGAGAGAGACCAUUCACCUGCUCCAUGUGUGAGAAGGGAUUCACUCAGUUAUCCACCCUGCUGGCACACCAGAGAGUUCACACAGAUAAACGACCUUUUAAAUGUUGUGAAUGUGAGAAGAGCUUUAAAAGCACAAGUGAAGUUCUGACACACCAACGUACUCACUCUGGGGAGAGACCGUUCAUUUGCUCAGUGUGUCAAAAGGGAUUUACUCAGUCAUGUUCCCUAAUGAGACAUCAGCGAGUUCACACAGGAGAAAGACCAUUCAGCUGCUCUGUAUGUGGGAAAGGAUUCAGUCACUCAUCAACUCUACUUAAGCACCAGCUAGUUCACACUGGGGAGAGGCCGUUUACCUGCUCUGUGUGUGGGAAAGGAUUCACUCGUUCAUCGAACCUACUGAUCCACCAGCGAGUUCACACUGGGGAGAAACCUUUCACCUGUUCCAUGUGUGGAAAGGGAUUUGCUCAGUCACAACAUCUACUGAGACACCAGCGACUUCACAUGUGACACGAUAUUUUGGUUGUCCUCUUACCUGCAUUAUAUGUUUGUUUCUGCUGCUAGAAUUUAGUAUAAUUGGACUGACGUUCAAUGUACUGGAAAUCUGUCAAAUAAAUCAACUUUCCUGAAA